CUAAUGUCGUGCAAGAGUCAUUGCCAAGAAAGGAAAGGGGAAGGUGAUCAAGGAGUGACUCGAGAAAAUUUACGGUUAGUAUUACCAUAAUUCGAAUUUAAUUAUUAAUUGUUAAAAUUUAAAUUAAUAUACAUGAUAAGAAAAUUGAGGUGAGUAUCAUGAUUGAAUCGAAUGAAAUAUAUAUAUAUAUAUAUAUAUAUAUACAUAUUGAUAUUGAAUUUAUUGAUAGUAAUUGUUGAAUUUUGAAUAAUAUGUUUAGUAAAUAAAAAUAAGGAGAAUAUCGAUAUUUAAUUGAAUGAAUUAAAAAUAUGAAUUGAAUAAAAGUGAAUUAAAUUAUGAAUAAGUGUGAAUACGUGAAUUGAGUAUUGACUGAAAAGUGGUUUGAUUCGAAUCGAGGUAUGAUUUGUGAAAUAUGUAUUGGUGCUGAAUUGUAUAUUGAUUUGAAAGUGGGAAGUGAAUUUCAAAUAGAAAAAUAUAUUGAAUCAAAUGGUGAUUAAAUUGUAUAAUGAUUUGAAUUGAAAGUAUGAGAAAGUGAGUGAACUGAACUGUGAUUCGGAAACCCUAUUAACUAGUCGGGCUGAGUCGGAUAUAGUUGGCAUGCCAUAGGAUUGGAAGUGUUCAGGGAUACCUCCGACCUUGACUCUGUGAGACACUAGGUGUCAUACUGUUACUUCGUAUAGAUUCGAUGAGGUNNNNNNNNNNNNNNNNNNNNNNNNNNNNNNNNNNNNNNNNNNNNNNNNNNNNNNNNNNNNNNNNNNNNNNNNNNNNNNNNNNNNNNNNNNNNNNNNNNNNGAACUAUCCGAUGAGGCACUGGGUGCCGUACUGGUGUGUUUGGUUGGAUCCGUGUAUCCGCCAAAGUCCGAGUCAUGUUAAUAGGGGGAAAUAAAAGAAUUGAAGUAAGAAAUGAUAUUGAAUUAUGAAUUAUGUGAAUAUUUGAAGGUAUAUGGAUUGAUUAAAAGCAAUUUGAAUUGAAGUAAAUUGAUUUGAAAUAAGACAUUGAAUUGAGAUGUGAAAAUGGAAUGUGAGAAUUAUGGUUCAAGAAACAAAUAAUGAUAAAUUUUAUGAAAUAGUUUUUGGUAAUAUGAAAUGAUGUAAAAAUGACAAGUGAAAAUAAAAUGAUUUGAAAUAGUGGAAUAAUAUGUGAAUUUAAUUGAAUACAAGUUAUUGAAUUUUAUUUAUGGAUUUAAUGUGUAAAUUGAGUGUUAAAAGAUUAUAAGUGUAAAAUUGAAUAUAAAUAGAAAUGAUAAUGAAUGAGUUGAUGAAAUGAUUGAGUUUGUAUGGAUUGGAAUGAGUUAUUAAAAUGAGAUGUUGAAAAAUCCAAUAAAAUUUAGAUAGCGAAACAAGGUAUGAAUACAAUUAAAUAUAAGAUUGAAAUAUUGCUUAUUGUUAUUAAUGAUCAAGUUGAUUUAAAGUAUGAGGCAAUUAACGAAUAAUUGUAGACAUAAAUUAAAUGUAUAUAAAUUAUCGAUUAAAGUUAUUAAUUUGAAUUAUGGUAAUACCACUGAGUAUUCCCAUACUCAGCGUACGGUUGUUUCCGUGCGCAGGUUAGUAGAAAACCAGUGUUCGGUCCAGCAUCCAGAGUAAUCCCGACCUCAGAGUAAUUUAGCGAUGUAUUUUUCUUUUGAUAACGUGGCAUGUACCUAAGUAAUGUUUAUACCUAAGUGAUGUAUAGGGAUUAGUCAAUUUGAAUGUUUGUAUCUAUGAUAUUGCUAAAGGAAGAUGUGUGAGUAUGUGAUAAUGUUUGGCUUUUACAAUGGUUAAGUAUGAAUAUGUUUGGUAAUAUGUAUGUUUAGAUGAUAAAUCAUGCAUGGAAAUCAUGAAAGAGUAAAAAUUUGUAAAGAAACAGAUUUCAAGCAGCUACAGUGAUGUGACUUUGAAAAAUCACCUAGGAUAGUAUAAAAUUAAUUAGAGGGUGAAUGAUAUAUGGAAUUAAAGCUUGUUGAGUCUAUUUUCAUGGAAAAAUAACGGUUUAACAAAAGAAAUUUUAUAUUUUGAGAUAUGAGAACUUUAGUGAGACAGGGUCAGAACUGUUUUUGGAGUCC
rnacentral:lncRNA from 1 species